GCGGUCGUGGCGAAAUUGGUAGACGCACUACUUUGAGGGGGUAGCGGAGAGAUCCAUAUGAGUUCAAAUCUCAUCGACCGCACCA
rnacentral:tRNA from 1 species